rnacentral:rRNA from 1 species
CAGGCUUAACACAUGCAAGUCGAGGGGCAGCAUGAAGUAUCAAUACUUUGAUGGCGACCGGCGGACGGGUGCGUAACGCGUAUGCAACCUACCUUAAACAGGGGGAUAACACUGAGAAAUUGGUACUAAUACCCCAUAUUAUUCGAGACGGCAUCGUCUUGGGUUGAAAACUCCGGUGGUUUAAGAUGGGCAUGCGUUGUAUUAGCUGGUUGGUGAGGUAACGGCUCACCAAGGCGACGAUACAUAGGGGGACUGAGAGGUCAACCCCCCACAUUGGUACUGAGACACGGACCAGACUCCUACGGGAGGCAGCAGUGAGGAAUAUUGGUCAAUGGUCGAGAGACUGAACCAGCCAAGUCGCGUGAGGGAAGACUGCCCUAUGGGUUGUAAACCUCUUUUCUACUGGGAGAAUAAGCCUUAUGUAUAAGGUGAUGACAGUACAGUAGGAAUAAGCAUCGGCUAACUCCGUGCCAGCAGCCGCGGUAAUACGGAGGAUGCGAGCGUUAUCCGGAUUUAUUGGGUUUAAAGGGUGCGUAGGCGGCUUUAUAAGUUAGUGGUAAAAUUUCGGAGCUUCACUCCGGUCCGCCAUUAAAACUGUAGAGCUAGAGAAUGGACGAGGUAAGCGGAAUAAGUUAAGUAGCGGUGAAAAUGCAUAGAUAUACUUUAGAACUCCGAUAGCGAAGGCAGCUUACCAGACCAUAACUGACGCUGAUGCACGAGAGCGUGGGUAGCGAACAGGAUUAGAUACCCUGGUAGUCCACGCCGUAAACGAUGCUCACCGGCCCUUAGCGAUAAGACAGUUAGGGGUUAAUUGAAAGAAUUAAGUGAGCCACCUGGGGAGUACGUCGGCAACGAUGAAACUCAAAGGAAUUGACGGGGGCCCGCACAAGCGGAGGAACAUGUGGUUUAAUUCGAUGAUACGCGAGGAACCUUACCUGGGUUUAAAUGUAUAUUGCAUAAUCUGGAAACAGUUUUUCUCUUCGGAGCUAUAUACAAGGUGCUGCAUGGUUGUCGUCAGCUCGUGCCGUGAGGUGUCGGGUUAAGUCCCAUAACGAGCGCAACCCUUACCGUUAGUUGCUAGCAUGUAAUGAUGAGCACUCUAGCGGGACUGCCACCGUAAGGUGAGAGGAAGGGGGGGAUGACGUCAAAUCAGCACGGCCCUUACAUCCAGGGCGACACACGUGUUACAAUGGCCAUAACAGCGGGUAGCUACCGGGUGACCGGAUGCAAAUCUCGAAAAUUGGUCUAAGUUCGGAUUGGAGUCUGCAACCCGACUCCAUGAAGUUGGAUUCGCUAGUAAUCGCGCAUCAGCCAUGGCGCGGUGAAUACGUUCCCGGGCCUUGUACACACCGCCCGUCAAGCCAUGGAAGCUGAGAGUACCUGAAGUCCGUAACCGCGAGGAUCGGCCUAGGGUAAUACCGGUAACUGGGGCUAA